CGUAGGGUGCGAGCGUUAAUCGGAAUUACUGGGCGUAAAGCGUGCGCAGGCGGUUCGUUAAGUCAGAUGUGAAAGCCCCGGGCUCAACCUGGGAACUGCAUUUGAAACUGGCGGGCUUGAGUAUGGCAGAGGGGGUGGAAUUCCGCGUGUAGCAGUGAAAUGCGUAGAGAUGCGGAGGAACACCGAUGGCGAAGGCAGCCCCCUGGGCCAAUACUGACGCUCAGGCACGAAAGCGUGGGAGCAAACAGGAUU
rnacentral:rRNA from 1 species